GAACUUUCUGGAGAUUGCUCCUCUUAGAGUUUUUCCUCUGAGCCUACAACACAGAGAAAGGGUCUGCAGCAGAGCAUGUCGGACACUGAACAGGCACCCCAAGGCAGUGGUCACAGCACCAAACUGUCAAGAGUCCAAGAAGCACCUGGACAACACUUUCAGGCAUAGAGUUUAAAUUUUGGGUGGUACUUUGUGGAACCAGGACUUGAUGAUCUUCAUGGGCCCAUUCCAACUUUGGAUUUUCCUAUGAUUCUAUAAAUUAUUAUACUGAUAAAAAACACGCUAUUCUUAUUA